CGGUGUCCACAGGUCCCCGUCAAAGGGGCUCUAGUGUCAGUGAGCCGGCAGGAAGCGACACUCAGGCAUGCUGGCCCCUCGCCAUCCCUCGCUCAGUGUGAAGGACAGGUGGAGUGGUGUGCUGCCCCUCUUCCGGGCUGACAGACUCAGCACAAGGCGCCCAUCAACAGGCAGGGCUGAAAGGAGGGGUGGGGCUGACCUCCGGAAGAGAACUCGCAAGGUCUGGUAGAGUCCUCCGAGAAGCCAGGACAUCCAUGGUGCAAUCUCUCCUCCCUAAAGAGCCCGCUUUACCUGUGAAACCAGGUCACUCCCGUGUUUUCUCCAUGAGCUCCGUGUCAUCCCACCCUCCCGUUGAAGAGGAUGCCCUCUGGAGACCCAGCUACAGGGACAUCAAAGAGCUUAACCUGGUGAUGCUGCUGCUGGGCAAGAGGAAGACAUCCGAAGUUUGGAUGCUCAGUCCUCGGCCUCACAACUCUGUGCGGUGGGUGGCGCAGGCACUACUUGUUUACACAGAGAACAGAGGAAGAGGAAUGUCUUCAACAGCACCACAGAGAUGCCAUAGGCCAGACCUACAGUGGUGACAUUGUUAUAGAGCAUGAGUCUGACUCAUUCACCAAGUAAAUGCAAGGGAAGAGGAAGAGGACCUGCACACUAACACACACUUGGGUGUGUCAACCAAGUGAAGGACAGCAAGGAACCUGGGGACCAACAGGAGGAAGCAAUCCUCAAGAAGGGAUGGAGGCUUCCAGAAUCUGCAUGGGACAGGCGAGCCUUAAGAUCUAACUAUGGGCCACUGUUCUCGUUAACCUCAUCCUCAAGGAAAACCCGAAACAAGGACCAGCAGAACCAUACAGUCCCCAAAUCUAUGAUUUUCAGUUGGCAAUAUGCUGUGAACAGGAUCUUCAGAUGGUCGAGGGCCAGUGUAUUUCAAAGCCGCACGUCUUUUCUUCAGCCCCCAUCUUCUUGCAUUACUAUGCAUUUCUGGAACUGUAAUCAACUUUGCCUUUGAGGCAGUUGAGUCAAAAUCACUAUCAAUAUACUUGACACAAAAAAUUGACUUCCUGGGACCUUUAAUAUCCUCAUGCCAGCUUUUUUCAAUUAAGUGACCACAACCAGCAAACCACUCUUACCAUGGGUACUGUGUGGGGCACUAAGAUAUGCAGUGUCUGCAACAGCGAACCACAAAAUGCUGGGUCAAGAAGGGAAAAGAAAGUUUCUCAUACACAUUCUUAAAGCAUUAUUCAGAUUUACAAUCCUCCUCGCUCUUGCUAGGAAUGGUCCCCAGGCGUCCACAACUGCACUCGGAGGCUGCCCUGGUACAAGCUCGGGCUGCAAUACCCAUGGGAUGGCCACACUGUCCCAACCUCCCCAGAAGUGGGGACACUCGGUUACUGUUGUACUCUCAGUGGUUAUAGGAGCUUCAUCUCAUUCCUUCAUCAACUGAGAACUACACAGAAACCACGCCUAACUGUGCUCUCUAGUUUUCUCUGAGGUUAUCCCACACCUUCAGACUAUAUUUACUUUUUGCAUAAUUAGUCACCGCUUCCUAAUCAACAGCAACCAUGUUUUGGGAAACAUGGGUCAAAUCACGCAGCAGGGGUGGCCAUCUGAACUUGAGACUGUCCUGGGGAUUCAGAAGUCAAGCUGCCACACGUGCACACAGUAUGUGCCUUCCUAGUUAUUACGCAGAAAGCUUGCACAAGUCGCUUGUCCAGGCACCCUGGCACGCUACAGCCAAUCUUACCGAAGAAUGAAGCGCUGGAUGCUACUGCAGGCGCCAAGCUCAGGGCUCAGUUGUGGUCCCACCCACGCUUCACCCACUCAAAGCAUUCAGUCCACUGUGACGCUGUGGACUCGAGGAAGAGGCCACUGUGCCGAGGCUCGCCAUUUUCGGUUCAGGACUGACUCGAUGGUGUAAAAGUCUAUUAGGAAAAAGAAUGGUGAAGUCUGAAUGAGAAAAUGUAUUUCAUCGGGGAAGAUAAAAGUCUUUCUUCUCUCUAGUGAAUACAGGUGAUUUCAGAAGCAGCGACUCCUAAUUAUUCACUGUUGAAAAGCUAAAAAAAAGGUUCACAUUGAAAACAGUGACCUCCAGUUUGCUCUGUGAAUGAAGACAGACACAAAUUCUCAUUUUCCUGGAAUCCUGGUUGAUAAGUGAGUUGGGGAAAUGCAUGCAUUUCUUCAUUACAGUGCAGUCGACUGUUCAUUUAAAUGACAAUAACUGGCAUAAAAGCCACAUAAGCAUUAUCUAGCAAUUCUACUGUGUUGAAACGCAUUAUUAGAGUGAACAAUGCUAAGUACAGUAAAUAAAUGACUGCCCCUCAUUUUCAGCAUUACUCCUGCUUACUUAGCUUUGUGAGAGGGUACCAUCAUUAUGACUGGUGCAUUCAACACCUCGGCCAACACCAUUUGCUUGGGUAACUCUUGAACUGGAAAGGAUUUUAAAAUAGUUAUGGUCUUUUCUAGCAAUGGAAGGAGAGGGGAAAGUCAUCCAAUCCAGUACUUACAUAUCAGGUAUUUUCAACAGAAAAUAGUUGAAGAAAUCAAUGUCUAUUCACUAUGUCUCUGUAAAAACUAAAGGACAACACACACAAUAGACGGGUUUAAAAUUGUAAAAUCUGCACCAGUGGUUUAACUUGGAAUCAGAUGCUUAAGAACCCGCUAAUAGUUCUGCCUUUCAGGUUCCUUGUACUCCAAGUAGAUGCCUUUCUCUGCUUUCUGUCUUUUUAUACCUGAAAUGUCUAGCAUCCCACCCAAAGCUCCCAGCAAACCUGCUGUAUCUUCUCUCUCCCAAAUGUAGGACAAAUGAAAGAAGCUAUUUGAAAUCAUUUCCUCUUGAGUCUCCAGCUUGCACACAAGGGUGAUGUGGUAGACAGUACACGGCGGCGGCGGCGGCGGCCCUGGAACAUUUGAAGCCAGGUCUUUCCAUCCAUGUCCUCCAGACAUGCGCAUCAAGUCACAGACAAGAUUCCUUAUAAAUCAACAAGCAACAUCCUCGUCGAGUCAUGAUUCAGAGUUGAUAAUUCGUUAGCGGUGAGUCACUUUCUCCCCCAACCUCUUGGAACCUCUAGGAUUUCUAUACAGCAAAGCUCAGGGUGAGAAGAGGUGCAGGGGCACAGCUCUGAAGCUGUGUUUGGGUGGUAAGAACUGUCCUGUCAUUCUCCAGUUUCCAGAGUGCCCACCCACAGGUCCCACCUUGCCAUCCUGUGCUCCAGUGGCUAGCCCUGAGCACUACACUGCACUAAUGCUCCCAAGUUCAGUUCCUUCCUGUCAGGCCAGGCAUCGGACGGACUAGAGCAAGUGCAGUACAGCUGAAAAUGCCUUGCACAUGCCUGCUGCUAUCCCUAUCCCACACCCAAAUUUACAAUGUUGUCUAGGGCUGACUCUCACUCGAGAGAUGACUGACUUUUUUUAGCACAUCUUUACUAUGUCUGGAGAUCCGUGAAUGUGUGUGAAAGGACGAGUAACAUUGAGACAAGUCGGCUGCAAAGGACGAGUGGGCAAGAGCGGCCCAUGCAUUUCAAAUGCUUCUUGCUCUUUCCUGAUCCCAGCUGGCACUUCUCUUUAUCCUGUGGACUUUUAGAUAAAAGGUGCAUCAAUUUCUUUCCUGGUAUCUUCCCUUGGGUCAGAGCUUGUGGGACCCAUAACUUCUUCCUUGGACUCAUCUCACUUGGGAUCCCUAGGUGGUCCACUCCCAGCUGGCGGAUUCCUGUACUGAUUCACAUCCUGACUGCCAAGACUACCUCUUCACAAGUUUGCAGCGUGUUUGACAAAGCCGUGUGCCUUUCCAGGCUCAGCGUACUUACAAAGUAGUUAGUGGUUCAGAAAUCUCUUCCCUGGGGUUAGCAGUCUGACUCCAACACAUUGGCCUUAGAUAUGUGCAACAGGUGACAUGAAAAUGCACAGAAAUGAUGCAGGGUAACCUGCCAAAGCCUUCAGAAGCUCACUGUGCCCUUGAAGUGGGUCAUCCUCAGGAGCUGUUGCUUUUCAUCUACCCAGCAGGUGUGUGUCAUCAAAUAAAUAUCAUAAAAUGUCUUCCAGCCUGGAACAAACAUCUGGCAAGGAAAAGAAGCUCACAGGCUUGCUGCCUAUCAUGCCUGACGGAGGGACGCCUCCUGAGAUGCCCUUUCUUAACCCUGUGAGAAGCAAUAUUUUUAUGAACAAAAGGUUUACUUUCCCUAUUAUCUCAGUCUCCUCUCCGUUUGUCUAUUCUCCUCAUCCUCUCGGCUAAGACGUUUCCAAAAGAAAGCAAUCGCAACUCCACAACUCAGUGUUUAACAAAUAGGACCCUUGAAGUGUGGUACCACAAAAUCCUAUUUCCCCUCAAAUUCUGUGAGAUUAAAAGACAAUAACAGUAAUAAGUAGGCUAACUGGUUUUCUUGGGACCUCCUGUUUCAUCACCCUGGGUUAGUGUUUAAAUUAUUGAUGCCCUCUCCUUUAUGUUGGAAGUGUUAGGAGAUAGUGAGAUGUAGCAGCUUACAGUCUGCAGAGUUCUGUAAUAACAGGCAGGGAGGUAGGAAAUAAUACAUCCCGAUUCUCAUUGGAUGUUCUUAAGCUUACCCCAUUAGUACAUGCUCAAAUACCUGAUGUCACUGAGCCAAAACUAUUUUAAAAAGAAGUUAACCCUGAGUUCAAAACUAUGAGAAGAAGUUACACUAGAGGAAACACUUGGAUCCUAAUGUGUUUGCCUUGCUUUCAAAUUUCUGUACAUCACUUCUCACCCCUGAGCCCAGACGAUUCUCACAGGAGCACAGGCGCUAUGCAUGUCAUGGGAGGAGGUAGUGAAGCUCAGCGUGACCUCGGGCGAGCUGUGUGGAUCACUGUGAUGUCUUCAUACGCACGAAGGUUCUCGAGCACUUCCAUGGUAGUUUCAUUUGUUAUUUUCCGGUCCAAUGGUGUCCCCAAACUCUCAGAUCACAAGCAGCAGUUGGGCUGUCAUUGACUUAACCAUUUCCUUCAUGUCAACUAAACAGUGGUCACCUCUCUCAAUAUUAUCAAUGAGUUCAUAGGUUUGAUGACUCCUUAAAGUUGCUCAUUUAGAAAACACUGGGUUAUAAAAGCUAUGUAGUUUAGAAAGGGCAUGAGAACAGGCUGACACUUGUGUGGGUACCAGAUGGUGGGCUUUUCAUUAACUACUGAGAAUUUGUAGACAUUGGGCUUACAGCACCAAAGGAAAAAUAAUUCCUUCUCCUAUGGAACCCACAUUUUAAAUAUGAGGUGUUGGUGAACAGAUAACCAUCCACUGACUUAGUAGUAUCCCUUGUCCAAAGUGCUUCUAACUGGAAGUG